rnacentral:lncRNA from 1 species
AGAAGAUUGAACUCUCAACCAUGACACAUGUGAUGGGGAAAUCUGAGUUGAUGGACUGAAAAUCUUGAAUCUGAAUUCCUUUGAAUCUUCUGAGCCCACAGAAGUAGCCCACUCCUCCCUUUGAAGAUGGAAGUGCAUGUUGUAGAGGAUAAAGUCUGUCCUGCAUGCUGUGCAGUGUCCUGAUGAUACUGGCCCGGACUCACUGAUGCUGCCAUGUCCUCAUGGUCUCUAAGUGAUUUGAUACCUCUGUGUGCUGUCUCACAGUCUCUUGGCCUCACUUCUGACUCCAACUAUGGCUAUGGCAAACAGUUCUUGUGGCCUUUGACUCACUGGCAAUAUCUCACCUUAAGCACACACCAGCCAUUUUCAUUUGCUGUCCCAGUCCUUCCCUGACAUAGCGGAAUGGAACUACAAAUGGAAAGCUGAAGAACACUAUGGCAUUUCUGGCAGUCAAGAUUUGGAAAGUUACACACUAAGAAGCUAUAAUAUGCUUAAGGAUAAUUUCCACCUAAUAAAGAGAACAGAAAUUUUGUUUAUGCAACCAAAUAGAGAGUUACUGUAUAGAGCAUAUAUUUUCUGAAUCAAACAGAACAGAGAAUGACGGCAUUGAGACAUGUAGAAAUACCCUUAUAAUGACGGAGCUGUCAUGUGGAAUCAUGUGUUAUUUCAUGUGUCCAUUCCAUCUGAAUGAGCAAUAAAACCAUCUUGGAAAAGAAUAA